AGUAGUUUGAUUAUGGCUCAGGAUGAACGCUGGCGGCGUGCUUAACACAUGCAAGUUGCGCGGUGAUCUCAAGAAGUUUCGGACGGAAAGGGAGAGCAGCAGCGGACGGGUGAGUAAAGCACAAGGACUUGUCCCGAAGAGGGGGACAACUGUGGGAAACCACAGCUAAUACCCCAUAAGCCGAGAGGUGAAAGCAGUAAUGCGCUUUAGGAGAGACUUGUGUCCUAUCAGGUAGUUGGUGAGGUAACGGCUCACCAAGCCGAAGACGGGUAGCCGGACUGAGAGGUUGUACGGCCACAUUGGAACUGAGAGACGGUCCAGACUCCUACGGGAGGCAGCAGUGGGGAAUAUUGGGCAAUGGGGGCAACCCUGACCCAGCGACGCCGCGUGAGGGAAGACAGCCUUCGGGUUGUAAACCUCUGUUGCAGGGGAAGAAGAAAGUGACGGUACCCUGCGAGGAAGCUCCGGCAAACUACGUGCCAGCCGCCGC
rnacentral:rRNA from 1 species